rnacentral:rRNA from 1 species
GACGAACGCUGGCGGCGUGCUUAACACAUGCAAGUCGAACGGAAAGGCCCUGCUUGCAGGGUACUCGAGUGGCGAACGGGUGAGUAACACGUGGGUGAUCUGCCCUGCACUUCGGGAUAAGCCUGGGAAACUGGGUCUAAUACCGGAUAGGAGCCAUUUUUAGUGUGAUGGUUGGAAAGUUUUUUCGGUGUAGGAUGAGCUCGCGGCCUAUCAGCUUGUUGGUGGGGUAAUGGCCUACCAAGGCGGCGACGGGUAGCCGGCCUGAGAGGGUGGACGGCCACAUUGGGACUGAGAGACGGCCCAGACUCCUACGGGAGGCAGCAGUGGGGAAUAUUGCACAAUGGGCGCAAGCCUGAUGCAGCGACGCCGCGUGGGGGAUGACAGCCUUCGGGUUGUAAACUCCUUUCGCUAGGGACGAAGCUUUUUGUGACGGUACCUAGAUAAGAAGCACCGGCUAACUACGUG